GCCACGGUGCUCUUCGCAGACAGGGAAGAGAUUUAAUUUAUGGGGCACUAAUUGGGACUUUUCUGAUUGUUUCAGAUCAUGGAUUGGAUUAUCAGGAAGUAUUCUUUACUGGUACGUAAUAUGCUUGUACUAUUUAGUGAUAUAUCUAAUCAGCUGUGGUUUAGAAUUCAUUGUUCAGAAAAUAUGAACUAUACAGAUUGAAAAUUUGGACAGUUCACUGAAAUAUGGCAAUAAUAGGACAAGUGUUAGGUUCAAACACCAUGCAGUCCUGAACUAUUAAACCUACACUUAUAUGUUGGUAAAUGAGUUUAAGAUCAGUAUGUAACUAAGUGCAGUUCAAAGUUUAGAUGGAGAGGAACAAGCUGGCUAAAUUCUCUCGAGUUAUAUCUACAUUUAUAUUUAUAGUGGCUUCUUACACUUAUAAGGUCUGAGAGAAUAAAGAGGUGAAGUUGGAACACCUUGUUAGCAAGCUCCUUUUUUGAUGCAGUAUGCAUGAAGAGGACCUACAUAAUAUCAGUCUAAAAAUCCUGACCCAGAAAGAUUGCAAAACAGAGAAGAAAACAAAAAUUUAAGAAAAGAAGGCAAUAAACUGCAUCUUGUAUCCAAAGUGAGCUGUGUCAAACUUGAUUAAGUCAAUGUUUGAUAUAUUAUUUUUAUGUACGUAUGGAUAAACCUGUGAUUGAAGUGAUACUGACUCAAAAUAUAAUUAGAUCGCCGCAUGAAAGUUUAAGCAAAGCAAUAGAUUAACUCACCUGUUGCUGAUGGAAUUGGAACCAGUCUAGAUACUAGCCCCAACAGUCAUGGAGGCAGCUUUCUGGGUACUGCAUACUCACCACACACCUCUUUAAUUCCAUAACUUCUUUUGCUAGUACUUGCUAUGAUAAUUUGUGAAGGUACUGCAUACUCACACCUCUUUUCUAUGUAUUGUUAUGCGUAUUUUGUUGUUCUUGUCUGCAUCGAUCGCUGGUCUUGGCUUGCAGGUGAACUUGUCAUAAUACAAGUUGUAUCCUAAAGCUCUUUAAAAAAAUACUUGUCAUAUCUUAAUGCUUUUCUGAAGUAACAUUUGUUUUUCAUUGCAAACAUGGUGGAUUUCACUUUGAAAAUUGUGUAGCAUGAGGCUGGAUAUUAUAAUAUUCAUGCACGAAUCUAAGACUUGCUUAGGCAGAGCUGACAAGGCUGGAUAUCACUAUAUUAAAUCCAAGGCUGUAUAGCGUACAUGUACCACUGUCACCCAGCAUCUCUCCAUUUGAGCAGCUGUGUACGUAACACAUUUGCAUUCUAGUUUUGCUACAUGGCCAAGUCUUGGAGUUGUGCUCCCAUUAGGGGAGUUGUGCCAAAACAAGCUAGGAAAAGGGUUAUAAAACAGAGCUUAGUAAUUCUUUUGUUCUCUUUUAUCAGCCACUCGAUUUUUUUAGCCAACAAUUUACAUAAAUCUCUCUUGAUUUUUCUCGCCAAAAUCAUAAAAGCAUUCCAAGAAAUUAUAUAAUACUUCACCCAGGAAAUUAUUUCUACAGUGGUGGUGAGAGUGGGGACUCCAUCAUAUCUUGGCCCCAUGACGAGUCUUCGAGCAUGGACAUGUAUAUUUUCUUCAGUGAUACAGAUUGUUCGUGAUUUCAAUGAGCUAGACCGUCUUAGGUUCCACGACAAGGCUACUCAGGUGGAUGCUGAGAAAAUUGGCAUGAAGGAGGAAAAGCUCAGGUUAAUGUUUGAGGUAACAAGACAACGCCUUUUGUAGAUGAUUUGGCAGAGCAGGAUCAAGAUGAAAAGAAGAUCAUGCAACAAUUACGUAACGAAAAGAUUCAAGGUGAUAGAAGAGUUGGAAGCGAAUGUUGCUCGAGGUUCUUAUAGAGAAAUUGAUAAAAUUUCAAGUAGCAACCGUUAGUGUAGUCAUCACAUGAGCUCCUGACUGCCAUGUAAAUAAUGUUGAAGUCAUACUCUCUGUCAUUUUCUCUUGUUUGAGGAGAGCUCAAUCUUACUCAUGCAAUAGUACUAGGAACUUGGUGGUUCUCAGACUAAAGCAAAGUAGCUUUGUAAUUUUUUUUUGGUUCAGGUACUUGGCCGUUGGUUUAUCAUCUAGUUUAGUGGAUGUUUCAGUUCCCUGCUGCUAGCAUUUUCUCUUGUUUGAGGACAAUGUCACUCCUGUAAUAACUACUCCUAGUAACUUGAUUGAAGCUCCAUCAUGUAAUAGCUAUUGCUUUCUAUCUACUAUUUUUGAAGUUGUGUAAUGGUGGUUGAAUGGUCUGCAAAUUUUGUUGCUUGCAA